GCAGGCCUAACACAUGCAAGUCGAACGGUAACAGGAAGCAGCUUGCUUCUUGCUGACGAGUGGCGGACGGGUGAGUAAUGUCUGGGAAACUGCCUGAUGGAGGGGGAUAACUACUGGAAACGGUAGCUAAUACCGCAUAACGUCGCAAGACCAAAGAGGGGGACCUUCGGGCCUCUUGCCAUCGGAUGUGCCCAGAUGGGAUUAGCUUGUGGUGGGGUAACGGCUCACCAGGCGACGAUCCCUAGCUGGUCUGAGAGGAUGACCAGCCACACUGGAACUGAGACACGGUCCAGACUCCUACGGGAGGCAGCAGUGGGGAAUAUUGCACAAUGGGCGCAAGCCUGAUGCAGCCAUGCCGCGUGUAUGAAGAAGGCCUUCGGGUUGUAAAGUACUUUCAGCGGGGAGGAAGGGAGUAAAGUUAAUACCUUUGCUCAUUGACGUUACCCGCAGAAGAAGCACCGGCUAACUCCGUGCCAGCAGCCGCGGUAAUACGGAGGGUGCAAGCGUUAAUCGGAAUUACUGGGCGUAAAGCGCACGCAGGCGGUUUGUUAAGUCAGAUGUGAAAUCCCCGGGCUCAACCUGGGAACUGCAUCUGAUACUGGCAAGCUUGAGUCUCGUAGAGGGGGGUAGAAUUCCAGGUGUAGCGGUGAAAUGCGUAGAGAUCUGGAGGAAUACCGGUGGCGAAGGCGGCCCCCUGACGAAGA
rnacentral:rRNA from 1 species